rnacentral:rRNA from 1 species
AGUGGCGACCGGGUGAGUAACACGUGACUAACCUACCUUCGAGUGGGGGAUAACCUAGGGAAACCUGGGCUAAUACCGCAUAACAUCUUUGGAGUGGAAAUUCUGAGAUCAAAGGAGCAAUUCGCUUGAAGAGGGGGUCGCGGCUGAUUAGCUAGUUGGGGGGGUAAUGGCCCACCAAGGCUUUGAUCGGUAGCCGGCCUGAGAGGGCGCACGGCCACACUGGAACUGAAACACGGUCCAGACUCCUACGGGAGGCAGCAGUGGGGAAUUUUGCGCAAUGGGGGAAACCCUGACGCAGCAACGCCGCGUGGAGGAUGAAGUCCCUUGGGACGUAAACUCCUUUCGACCGGGACGAUAAUGACGGUACCGGUGGAAGAAGCCCCGGCUAACUUCGUGCCAGCAGCCGCGGUAAUACGAGGGGGGCAAGCGUCGUUCGGAAUUAUUGGGCGUAAAGGGCGCGUAGGCGGUGCGGUAAGUCACCUGUGAAAUCUCCGGGCUUAACUCGGAGUCUGCAGGCGA